AUGGACACCGGGGUCGGACGGACCCCUCCUGCUGCGGCGGCGGCGGACACCGGCGAUGAGCCACGGGACGCGCGUGUCGUGAAGGAAAUCUUGCGUUCGGUGGGGCUUGAGGAAGGGGAUUACGAGCCAGCGGUGGUCCACCAGUUCCUGAGGCUCGCCCACCGGUACGCCGGCGACGUGCUCGGCGACGCGCUGGCCUACGCGGAUCACGCCGGCAGGGCGUCGCUCCAAGAAGACGACGUCCACCUCGCCAUCCGCUCCAACGCCACGUUCGGCCACGAGCUGCCGGGGCGCGAGGUACGUGCGUAG
rnacentral:rRNA from 1 species